rnacentral:rRNA from 1 species
GAGUGCGGUCAUACCAGCACAAAUGCAUCGGAUCCCAUUACAACUCCGCAGCUAAGCGUGCUUGGGCAAUGGGUGACCUCUUGGGAAGUCCUCGUGUUGCAUCGC